rnacentral:lncRNA from 1 species
CAGAGAAGGAGUUCCAUGAUGCGGCAAAGCGUAAUGACACAGCCAGGAUGGAGGAGCUCAUCAGGAGAGGGGUUGACAUCAAAGCCAAAACCAAUACCGGACUGCCCUGCACUGGGCCGCAGGAGCAGGGAACGUGGAUGCUGUGCGACUGCUCCUGGAUCACGAUGUCCCGGUUGAUGACAAAGACAGUUUUGGAAUGAAUGCGCUUCUCCUGUCUGCCUGGUUUGGCCACCUCCGCGUCUUGCAGAUCCUCAUCAAUGCUGGGGCC